rnacentral:rRNA from 1 species
AACCUCCGCAAUGUGAGAAAUCGCGACGGGGGGAUCCCAAGUGCCAUUCUUAACGGGAUGGCUUUUCAUUAGUGUAAAGAGCUUUUGGAAUAAGAGCUGGGCAAGACCGGUGCCAGCCGCCGCGGUAACACCGGCAGCUCUAGUGGUAACAAUUUUUAUUGGGCCUAAAGCGUCCGUAGCCGGUUUAAUAAGUCUCUGGUGAAAUCCUGUAGCUUAACUGUGGGAAUUGCUGGAGAUACUAUUAGACUUGAGAUCGGGAGAGGUUAGAGGUACUCCCAGGGUAGAGGUGAAAUUCUGUAAUCCUGGGAGGACCGCCUGUUGCGAAGGCGUCUAACUGGAACGAUUCUGACGGUGAGGGACGAAGGUUAGGGGCGCGAACCGGAUUAGAUACCCGGGUAGUCCUAACUGUAACGAUGCGGACUUGGUGUUGGGGUGGCUUUGAGCUGCUCCAGUGCCGAAGGGAAGCUGUUAAGUCCGCCGCCUGGGAAGUACGGUCGCAAGACUGAAACUUAAAGGAAUU